rnacentral:piRNA from 1 species
UAGUACUAUGUCCAAUUUUCGGAGAA